GGGCCCGCACAAGCAGCGGAGCAUGUGGUUUAAUUCGAAGCAACGCGAAGAACCUUACCAAGGCUUGACAUCCACUUAAACUCAUGGAAACAUGAGGUGUCUUCGGACGAAGUGAGACAGGUGGUGCAUGGUUGUCGUCAGCUCGUGUCGUGAGAUGUUGGGUUAAGUCCCGCAACGAGCGCAACCCUUAUUGCCAGUUACCAGCGCGUAAAGGCGGGGACUCUGGUGAGACCGCCGGGGACAACUCGGAGGAAGGUGGGGACGACGUCAAAUCAUCAUGCCCCUUAUGUCUUGGGCUACACACGUGCUACAAUGGCAGUUACAAAGAGAUGCGAAACCGUAAGGCGAAGCAAACCUCACAAAAGCUGUCCCAGUUCGGAUCGUGGGCUGCAACCCGCCCACGUGAAGUCGGAGUUGCUAGUAAUCGCGGAUCAGCAUGCCGCGGUGAAUACGUUCCCGGGCCUU
rnacentral:rRNA from 1 species